rnacentral:lncRNA from 10 species
GAUACCGGACUUGGUGGAGAAGGAUGGUAUGAAUGUGUUUCUAGGUGGCUGCCUGGACAAGGGAGUUCAGCCUUUGGGAGAUAAAGCAGAAUAUAAAGGGUCACACUCUGUCACCCAGACUGGAGUGCAGUGGCGCAAUCUCAGCUCGCUGUAGACUCAACCUCCUGGGCUCAAGCGAUUCUCCCACCUCAGCCUUCUGACUUUGCCUCGGGAGAGAAAAAGAGAGUCGAUUCCGAGUACAGCUGGGCCACUGGGACUGCAUUCCUGCCUGUGAGGAGGACAGCCUGUCAAUGAGCCAGAAGGGGCUAACAGAGGUUGUACUUACAGGUUCUCAAGUUUUGCUAUCAUAAACACCCAAAGUACACCACGCCGGCAAGCUGAAGGCUGACAGGAUAGAAAACUUGCACAAGACAGUUAACAUUGUAG